GUUUUUGAAGCCUAAAAGCCCUCAGCAUAACACUGUUCAUGAACAAAGCGCGUCACUGGGUUUGUGCGUCAUAACUAAUUCCCUGUAUGCUUGUGUCUUGUUUAUCUUGUCAGAGAAGAGGAAUGCUGGUCUGAGCCAGUGUGAGACUCGUCUCCGUGGCUACUCGGAGCACUGUUCAGAGCGCCUUCAGCUUGAGGAAAGGCCUGGUGGUGCUGUGGUAGGAGUAUGUGUGGAUGACCUUGUCUUUUUCUGAUAUGAACGGGACAGACUCCCAGCAUGUCUGGUCUGCUGAUUUACAGAGUGUGUGGAGUAGUCUCGGAUAUAUGGGGUUUGCAAAAUGGCACCAGGAGACAUCACUAUAAUCCCUCACUCAGGUUAAAGGGACCAAAACUUCAUUAUCCUCAAAGGCCCCAAGUACAGCAUAAACACAUCUACAGUUUACAUAUAAAAACAGAAAGAAAGCAAAAAUCCAAGCAGUAUAAAUCACCAUAGAAUUAAAUACAAAACAAACUAUAACACGUACUGAUUCCUGUAGUGAACUAGCCAACUGGCAAUAGAAAACAUUUUUUCAUCCAUUUUGCUGGAGGAACCGGCCAGCCUGGCGAGUCCUGUGUGUAUACUGUUUUUACUGAACUGCAUAUGCAACAGUAGUGUCAGUGUCACAGGUGUAAUGUGGGCUGGAUGUGGACAACUGAGAGUGGCGUCAAGCAUAACAGGAGAAGGGAUAGGCACAUGGAAAGGUUAAGGAAGGAUGACGAGUGUCAAAGAAAAAAAACCUGACCUGACUGACUGACACGUGAGGAGAAGAUUCAAAUGCAAAACAGAUAGCUAUUAAUAAGCAGAAUAGUGGGGGAGUAGGACUCAUGAUAACAGAUGGUGCCCAUCUUUAAUAGAUUCUUUUGCAAUGCUAACAUCAACUAAUUCUGCCUUGGUCAAGAUUGUUGGUUCCAACUCUUGCUACCAUCUGCGCUACACAUGUUCAGCAUGUUCUAAUUUGUACAUUGAUGUAUAAUGUCAUAUUUAGAAGCUGACCAAUACUGUAAUAAUAAUAGUAAUAAUAAUAAUAAUGACAACCCUUUGCUUACACAAUAAACAUAGCUGACAAACUCUGAAUAGUUUUUCAAGAAGUUGCUUCUAGUGUGGUUAAUUAUUUAAAUAUGCAAAAUCUUCUGAAUUUUCCAAAUAUUGAUUUUUCCCCCCCUCAGAUUAUAUAUCUUUUUCCAUUGGAAUUUGUUAAGGAUAUCAUUAAACAUUUGAAAUGGCCACAUACCACCCUUUUUGGACUAAAUUAGCUCUAAAGUGCAAUGACUCAACUGGCAACCCCACUGAAGGAUACCUAAACCACUGAAACCGUUUCCAAAAGUAACAUACAUCAUCUAUGCAUACCAUCAUCCAUCAUGUACCAAAAUGAAAAUGAAAAGCCUGUUUAAUAUUGCAUAUUGUUAAUAAAUGCAGAUGUGUGGCUUAACAUACAGCUUGCAAGUAGUCUAGCGAAUACCAGAUUGAUGUGAUAUUUUUCUGUCUAAAGGUCACCUAUGUUCCACUGUUUCUACAUUUAAUUCACAUGUCAUACAUGGAACAUUCGGUUAGUUUACAGCCUGUAAAGAGACAAAAGGCCUUUUAUAAAGCAGCAGUGCCUUUACCCCCAAACACAAUCAUUUACAAGUCCUUUAGUUAAAAAAAACACUAAAAACAUAACUAUUAUAAAUCACUAUAACCAAAUAUCCUACAACUAUUUUAAAAAUUUUGUUACAUAACUAAGAGUUGUUUAAUUCCUUCAUUUGACAUAAAAAACAUUACUCUCCAAUUGGGAGUCAAAUGUUUCUUAGGGUAACAAGUGAGUGCAGACACCACACCAAAUUGUCCUUAAUUACUCUCAGGCACUUCAUCUUAGGUUAUUUUUAAAUAUUUUUAUAUUUAAAUAAAUAUGCAAAUAUUUAUAAAUGUCUCCUGCUCACAGUUUACCCUCUAUACUCUUGAAUGAUACAAACAGCACGCAUAUCACGUGGGCCGGGUCCAGUAUGGACAUCAUCAGAAAAAUAAGAGUGGUACAGAAAUCUAGACUCUCGUUAACAACAAGGAUGGAGGAAGUACAGGCAGUAAGAGUAAGUAAAAGAGAUUAGUGUAAUACAAAAGAUAAAAGCAGGAGAUUGUAGCAGUAACUGUUUUUGCAGAUUAGCACGUAGCAGGAGAGGGAGAUUAUGGCUUUAAAUCAGCUACUUGGCCCUGGACGUCAGCUGCUUGGCAUUAUAUAAGUGGAAAGCAGCUAACAGUCAGACGUUGUAGCAUGCCGUGAAGACUAUGAGAAGUGACUGAAAGGUUUCCUCUGCUGCUCUAGCAAAUUCCAAAAGGAUUUUCAUUCAUUCUAAUGUCUCCAGGUAGGAAAAUGGCCUGCCCUCCAUGCGUGCGGACCCCUCGUGUCUGCGGUGAGGCAUGCUCUCUACCCAGCAGGCACCAGGCCUGAUGAGGACAGCCCUCCCCCAUUUAUAUCAUGCCAUCACUACUCAAAGUAUCAUCUUUUUUCAU